UACUUUACAAUAUUCUUUUUAUUAGAAGUUGUUAUUUAGGAUUCUGUUUGCAAUCAAUUAAUUAAUGAAACAUCAAACUUAAUUCAUAAUGGCGACAAGAGUUUGUUGUUUACAAUGAUCUAAAUCAGAUUUCUUAACAGAUUAUAAUAGCUUUGAAACAAUGAUAAUGAAAGUUUUUUCAUCGUUCUAAAUUUAUGCUACAGUUAUGGUCGUAAAAGAUUAAGAAAAAUCUUAUGGGUGCAAUUAUUCCACUGACACCGCGAAAAUUACCAAAAGAACUGACCAUCGCUGUUUAUUGUAUUUUUUUAAAUGUU
rnacentral:lncRNA from 1 species